rnacentral:snRNA from 1 species
UUGCUUCAGUAGUACAUAUACUAAAUUGGAAGGAUACAGAGAAGAUUAGCAUGGCCCCUGCACAAGGCAGACACGCAAACUCAUGAAGUGUUCUAUAUUUUA